AUGAACGCUAGCGGCAGGCUUAACACAUGCAAGUCGAGGGGCAGCGGGGAGUAGCAAUACUCCGCCGGCGACCGGCGCACGGGUGCGUAACGCGUAUGCAACCUACCUUUAACAGGGGCAUAACACUGAGAAAUUGGUACUAAUUCCCCAUAACAUUCGAGAAGGCAUCUUCUUGGGUUAAAAACUCCGGUGGUUAAAGAUGGGCAUGCGUUGUAUUAGCUAGUUGGUGAGGUAACGGCUCACCAAGGCAACGAUACAUAGGGGGACUGAGAGGUUAACCCCCCACAUUGGUACUGAGACACGGACCAAACUCCUACGGGAGGCAGCAGUGAGGAAUAUUGGUCAAUGGACGCAAGUCUGAACCAGCCAUGCCGCGUGCAGGAAGACGGCUCUAUGAGUUGUAAACUGCUUUUGUACUAGGGUAAACGCUUCUACGUGUAGGAGCCUGAAAGUAUAGUACGAAUAAGGAUCGGCUAACUCCGUGCCAGCAGCCGCGGUAAUACGGAGGAUCCAAGCGUUAUCCGGAUUUAUUGGGUUUAAAGGGUGCGUAGGCGGUUUGAUAAGUUAGAGGUGAAAUACCGGGGCUCAACUCCGGAACUGCCUCUAAUACUGUUGAACUAGAGAGUAGUUGCGGUAGGCGGAAUGUAUGGUGUAGCGGUGAAAUGCUUAGAGAUCAUACAGAACACCGAUUGCGAAGGCAGCUUACCAAACUAUAUCUGACGUUGAGGCACGAAAGCGUGGGGAGCAAACAGGAUUAGAUACCCUGGUAGUCCACGCAGUAAACGAUGAUAACUCGUUGUCGGCGAUACACAGUCGGUGACUAAGCGAAAGCGAUAAGUUAUCCACCUGGGGAGUACGUUCGCAAGAAUGAGACUCAAAGGAAUUGACGGGGGCCCGCACAAGCGGAGGAACAUGUGGUUUAAUUCGAUGAUACGCGAGGAACCUUACCCGGGCUUGAAAGUUAGUGACGAUUCUGGAAACAGGAUUUCCCUUCGGGGCACGAAACUAGGUGCUGCAUGGUUGUCGUCAGCUCGUGCCGUGAGGUGUCGGGUUAAGUCCCAUAACGAGCGCAACCCCUACCGUUAGUUGCCAUCAGGUCAAGCUGGGCACUCUGGCGGGACUGCCGGUGUAAGCCGAGAGGAAGGUGGGGAUGACGUCAAAUCAUCAUGCCCCUUAUGGCCUGGGCUACACACGUACUACAAUGGCGUCUACAAAGAGCGGCAAGUCUGUGAAGGCAAGCGAAUCUCAUAAAGGACGUCUCAGUUCGGAUUGAAGUCUGCAACCCGACUUCAUGAAGCUGGAAUCGCUAGUAAUCGCGAAUCAGAAUGUCGCGGUGAAUACGUUCCCGGGCCUUGUACACACCGCCCGUCAAGCCAUGGAAGCUGGGGGUGCCUGAAGUUCGUGACCGCAAGGAGCGACCUAGGGCAAAACCGGUGACUGGGGCU
rnacentral:rRNA from 1 species